rnacentral:rRNA from 1 species
UACGGGGGGAGCAAGCGUUGUUCGGAUUUACUGGGCGUAAAGGGCGCGUAGGCGGCCACUGCAAGUCAGUUGUGAAAUCUCCGGGCUUAACCCGGAAAGGUCAACUGAUACUGCAGGGCUAGAGUGCAGAAGGGGCAACUGGAAUUCUCGGUGUAGCGGUGAAAUGCGUAGAUAUCGAGAGGAACACCUGCGGCGAAGGCGGGUUGCUGGGCUGACACUGACGCUGAGGCACGAAAGCGUGGGGAGCAAACAGG